rnacentral:rRNA from 1 species
UCAGAUGCUAAGAAAAAUUACCCCUGGUUAGCAAUUGAAUGGGAGACUGUCUGGGAGUGCCAGGUGUGUCUGGU